UAAAAGGGUCGGUUGGCUAAAUAUGCCACGCUCACCCUCGUCUGGUGAGUGCUGUAUGGCUAUCAAGACAUAUGGCCGACAAAAUUUGUGGAAUUCAAUAGGGUUGGCUCGCCCGGCCGACCCUCCA
rfam:Macleaya cordata isolate BLH2017 scaffold1783, whole genome shotgun sequence.